rnacentral:rRNA from 1 species
AUACGGAGGGUGCAAGCGUUAUCCGGAAUCAUUGGGUUUAAAGGGUCCGCAGGCGGAUUAAUAGGUCAGUGGUGAAAUCCUCUCGCUUAACGAGAGAACUGCCAUUGAAACUGUUAGUCUUGAAUUCGGUCGAAGUAGGCGGAAUGUGUCAUGUAGCGGUGAAAUGCAUAGAUAUGACACAGAACACCGAUAGCGAAGGCAGCUUACUAGACCUGGAUUGACGCUCAUGGACGAAAGCGUGGGGAGCGAACAGGAGUAGAAACCCUAGUAGUCC